GAAGUUAGUUGAGAAUUGAGAUAUUUUCUUCUCUCUCCAUCCACGUACACAAAAUGCAGCCUUUUACAUACAUAAACAUAAACAGGCGCGAUCCUUUUAUUUACCUCCUCUUAAGAAUAAUUAGAUCCCCCUCUCCCUCUCUGUUGUUCUCCAUCUCCAUGUUCUCUCAUCUUUUUUAUCAAGUUGCUUUCUUACCUCGACGGGUUUAAGCUUCCGAGUGUAGUAGUUAGUUUCAAGGUUAUGGAGUGGCUUUGAUUUCUAUCGAGAGCCAUCUUACUCAAGGGCCAUUGCUUAUGCAACGGUAAAGUUAUUGGCUUGGGUUGCAGAGAUGCUGUUUUGAAUUUUGUACAAAGUAACUUUAUGGAAAAUGUGAAUGGGUAAGGUUACCUUCAGAUUAAAACUAACUUAGCCCAUAAAAGGUUAGAUUUUGUUGCUGCUUAUUGACACACUCAAACUUAUGAAUGAAUGCCUAAAUUGAAGUCAAUUGAGGCCCAAAAUCACUUAGACCCAAGUUAACAAACUAAAAGAAAUCCGUCUCCAUCAUGUUUUGCCAAGUGCCUCACAUGAGGGAUCUCUAAGUUGCAGGUAUUAAAAUUCUGUAGAAGUAAUUCCAUUUUUAUUUUUUAUGGUUGUGUUAUUAUGUCUGCGAAGUAAGACCAAGUUAAAAUCAUAAAAUCUUUAACAGCAUGGAGGCUCAAAGAGAAAUUUUGGUCACACACACACACAUGAAUCUUAAAAAAAUUAUCUUUUUAAUCUUUACAGCACAUCUUUUUAUUAUGAGUGGUGGUACAAAUAUAUUGAUUACUGCAAAGGCAACUCAGUGGAUGCUGGAAACACAGAUAAGUGGAAGUUUUUUUUUUAUUUAUUAAUGUCUUUAGUUUUAAUCUGAAAAUCGAUAUCAAAACAAUACAAGUUCCAUGAAAAUUGUCUCACUAUCCAUUCCCAUCUCCUUUGUUUAAUGUAGUGUAGACACAUGUGAGUAAAACAUAGGUUUGGUAAAGCAUGAAUAUUGGAAGAUGCAUCAGCAUGCACGCUUGCUGACAGUGGUUGUACUUGCCAGUCUUCUGAUUUUUCCACUAAUGAACAUCUAAAUGUCCUUUACAGUUGUGUUGCUCUGGUUUUAAUCACUUGCUUCUGUCACUAUCAAUUCCCAAUUGUUUGUUUUCUCAUGUUGUGAAGUUUGAUGGUAUACUUCAACAUUUGGAAUUUCACUUUUGAAAUGGAGAAUUUAUUGUUGGCUUCCCAUUAUAUAUUGAUGAGCCAUUUCUGAGAGGCAAUUUUUAGUCUGUGUUAAGAAUUACCUGAGACUUGGAAAUGGCAAGUUACACUGCUCAGAAGCUGCUGUACAUGAAAAUUAUCCAUUUGUUAUUUUAGGAAAAAGUAAAAUCUUAUAUGAAAAAAAAAGCAGUUAAAACUAAUGUUGCUUUGGGUAACAGCACAACAAUGGCGCUGGAAAAUCUUUGAACAAUGCCAAAGGUAUUGGAUAUUAUCCACUGCUUUUACCGAGGAGUCCUGUCUGCUUAGAGCUCGUCAGCCGAGUUCUAUGCUAGACCUGGCAAAGGGAAAUGAGGAUUGGGAGUGCAUUCUACGAAGACCGACCAGGUGUAUAUAUUCUGUCAAGGUUCCUUAUUUGGUGGUAAAAGAUUAAGUUCGGAGCCGAAGGGGAGGUGGAAAAUAUUUCUUAGUGAUACAUGUGCUGCCAAGACUUGUACCUCACGCAGUUCUGAAUUUUCUUGACUGACGAGUUUAACCUUCUUGUGCAGCUCAAGGUUUUCUUGAUAAAUUAGAUUACCCUGCAAUGAAGCCGAUGAAAGCCAGUGAACAUGAGAAUGUCUUUACAAUCAAUUCGAGAAUUAUUGAAGUCAAUAGUCUUGGAAAACCUUUCUGUUCAGGUCUUUAAUUUCAUCAGUUAAAAUUUGUUCCUGUGUAAAAAGAAAAAGGCUGCAUCAGCAUUAUGUGCAUGCUGCAUGUGCAUAUAAAAAGUGAUCUUGAGAUCAGGGAGGCUUUGCCUUUUUCAUUCGAACUCCUUUCAAACUCAUCUCCAGCUGGUUUUCUAGAUUCUGUAGAUCCUUGGCGCUCAAACCAGACAGUUCUUCUCCCAUCAAUUGCCUGCAAUGUCACAGAGGCAAGUAUUAGGUGUGGUGCCAGAGUCUUAUACUUUGUCCAUGAAUAUGGUGCUAAAAAAAAACCCUGUUCAUAAAUACAUAGAAAGUCUGGUAGCUUUUCUUUUCUGGCGGAUGUGGCGUCAACUGUGAUCAAUGAUAUGAAACAUUUAGAGAUAUUUUUGCCAGUAAGGUUACACGGCUGUAAGUUUUUUGAUCAGACAAGCCUACACAUCAUCAUUUGAAAUCCAGUGGUGAUGUGUUGUUGAGAUCAUCUAUUGAGAAUAUUGGGUGAUUAUUAACUUUA